rnacentral:rRNA from 1 species
UACGGAGGGGGCUAGCGUUGUUCGGAAUUACUGGGCGUAAAGCGCACGUAGGCGGCUUUGCAAGUUAGAGGUGAAAGCCCGGGGCUCAACCCCGGAACUGCCUUUAAGACUGCAUCGCUUGAAUCCGGGAGAGGUGAGUGGAAUUCCGAGUGUAGAGGUGAAAUUCGUAGAUAUGGGGAGGAACACCGGUGGCGAAGGCGGCCACCUGGACGGUAACUGACGCUGAGGCGCGAAAGCGUGGGUAGCAAACAGG